UGAGAACGCCCGAUCUCGUCUGAUCUCGGAAGCUAAGCA
rnacentral:rRNA from 1 species